GGAGGACGACUUGUCCCAGCGCGAGAGGCAGACCGCGGCGUCGUGGCCCGCGGCGCGGAGGGACUCGGCCAGUAGGCGGAGGAGGUCGCGCUUGCGCGCCCCUGACGCGCGGUGGCGCUCGACCUGGGUGGAGACGUCGGCGAGGAGGUUGCGCUCCCGGAGGCUGGCGCAGUGGACGAGGCCCUGCACGCGGAGUUCAGAAAUGGUAAGUUCGCGACCGACAACCGCCAAUCACAGUGAACAGCAACAAGUCAGAAGCACUGCAAUACCUUGAUGGUCUCCGCGAUGUCAGCGGCUGCGGCAUCCGCCGAGGCGGGGCCAUCCUCGUCGUCGGAGGUGUCACCGGCGUGGAAGCAGUUGCAGCACCGCGCGGCCGCUCCCCGCUCGCCG
rnacentral:lncRNA from 1 species